UCACCCCAAGACCAGAACAUUUUGCAGAAAGAAGAAUGAGAAAGUGUCUUCUAAGUGCCCAAGAUCCAGAAACACCCAUGUCUGACAGGGAAACUCAACAUGAAGCUGAAGUGGCCAUAGAUGUUCCUGCAUCAGGCGGGGAAAACAAUUUGU